AGUAUUAUGUCUGAAAAAGAAAUAAAUUGUAAAUUUAUUAAUGAAAAUUUAAAAUUUUUCUAAUACUA
rnacentral:tRNA from 1 species